rnacentral:rRNA from 1 species
GACGAACGCUGGCGGCGUGCUUAACACAUGCAAGUCGAACGAAGUGGCGAACGGGUGAGUAAUACGUGGGUAACCUGCCCUCCUUUUUGGGAUAAGCCUUGGAAACAGGGUCUAAUACCGAAUAAAGGGGGAUGGGCUCGCGGCCUUUCAGCUUGUUGGUGGGGUGAUGGCCUACCAAGGCGGUGACGGGUAGCCGGCCUGAGGGGUGGAUCGGCCACAUUGGACCUGCGAUACGGCCCAGACUCGCAAGGGAGGCAGAAGUGGGGGAAAUGGCACAAGGCGCGAGAGCCUGAGGCAGCGAAGCCGUGUGGGGGAUGAAGGCUUUAGGGUUGGAAACCUCUGACGCAAGGGAACGGGUAGGUGAAGAGGAAGCGCCGGCUAACUACGUGCCAGCAGCCGCGGUAAUUC